GGAUUAGAUACCCUGGUAGUCCACGCCGUAAACGAUGAGAACUAGCCGUUGGAGACCUUAGAGUUUUUAGUGGCGCAGCUAACGCGAUAAGUUCUCCGCCUGGGGAGUACGGCCGCAAGGUUAAAACUCAAAUGAAUUGACGGGGGCCCGCACAAGCGGUGGAGCAUGUGGUUUAAUUCGACGCAACGCGAAGAACCUUACCUGGCCUUGACAUCCUGCGAACCUUUCAGAGAUGAGAGGGUGCCUUCGGGAACGCAGAGACAGGUGCUGCAUGGCUGUCGUCAGCUCGUGCCG
rnacentral:rRNA from 1 species